GGAGGUAUUGCUCAGUGGUAGAAUGCAUGCUUGGUGUGCAUGAGGUCUUGGGUUCAACCCCCAGUGCCUCUG
rnacentral:tRNA from 1 species